rnacentral:rRNA from 1 species
UACGGAGGGUGCAAACGUUGCUCGGAAUCAUUGGGCGUAAAGCGCACGUAGGCGGCCUGUUAAGUCGGGUGUGAAAGCCCUGGGCUCAACCCAGGAAGUGCACUCGAAACUGGCAGGCUUGAAUAUGGAAGAGGGUCGCGGAAUUCCCGGUGUAGAGGUAGAAUUCGUAGAUAUCGGGAGGAACACCAGUGGCGAAGGCGGCGACCUGGGCCAAUAUUGACGCUGAGGUGCGAAAGCGUGGGGGAGCAAACAGG